CAGCCGCCGCGGUAAUACGGAGGGUGCGAGCGUUAAUCGGAAUUACUGGGCGUAAAGCGCACGUAGGCGGAUAUUUAAGUCAGGGGUGAAAUCCUGGAGCUCAACUCCAGAACUGCCUUUGAUACUGGGUAUCUAGAGUCCGGAAGAGGUGAGUGGAACUCCUAGUGUAGAGGUGGAAUUCGUAGAUAUUAGGAAGAACACCAGUGGCGAAGGCGGCUCACUGGUCCGGUACUGACGCUGAGGUGCGAAAGCGUGGGGAGCAAACAGGAUUAGAGACCCCCGUAGUCCCUGUCUCUUAUAC
rnacentral:rRNA from 1 species